UACGGAGGGGGCAAGCGUUGUUCGGAAUUACUGGGCGUAAAGGGCUCGUAGGCGGCCAACUAAGUCAGACGUGAAAUCCCUCGGCUUAACCGGGGAACUGCGUCUGAUACUGGAUGGCUUGAGAUUGGGAGAGGGAUGCGGAAUUCCAGGUGUAGCGGUGAAAUGCGUAGAUAUCAGGAGGAACACCGGUGGCGAAGGCGGUUCUCUGGGCAUUACCUGACGCUGAGGAGCGAAAGUGUGGGGAGCGAACAGG
rnacentral:rRNA from 1 species